UCGGAUGUGGUGCACGGUGCACGGCGGUUGCUCUUAUCAGCCGCAGUUCGGGGUUCGGGGUUCGACUCCCCGCAUCCGAC